CAUCACAUCACAUCACAUCACAUCACAUCACAUCACAUCACAUCACAUCACAGCGUCCUCCUCAUGCUGAUCCUGAUCCUUCCACAGCCGUCAUGUGUGUGUGUGUGUGUGUGUGUGUGUGUGUGUGUGUGUGUGUGUGUGUGUGUGUGUGUGUGUGCUGGACCCUAAGGUUGAUGCCUUAGAAAUCCUGGAUUGUGUUGAACAAUGAAGUGACUAAACUAGUGCGAAUGUAAUCCAACGAGUUCCUCCAACGAGGUCAUAUCGAAGUUAUAUUGAGUUAUAUUAAUAUCUGCUCAUUGUUAGGCUUAUUGGCUAUUCGUUUUUCCAUGAUACCUAAUCACAAUAAUAACGUUAAUAGCUGUAUAUUAUUAAUUAAAAUUGCAACGAUAACAACGGCAUUAAUAUCACUUUAUGCAUAUAAUCUUUAAAGACAAUCAAUUAAAAUAACGCAUAUUAAUUCGUUCAAUUGUAUGAUAAUUAUUAUAUGAUCACAUAUAUUAUUAUAAUUAAUGAUAAAAGGACACAGGUAGGCAUUUAUAUUAUCAGAUAAAAUAGAUAAUCAGACAUAGAUUAAGAAUCUGUCACAAAUAAUGUACAUUACUGUACAAUCACGUCUUCAAAUAAUAUAAAACGCAAACGAUGCCUAUAAUAUAAAUCGCUUUAUUACCUAUCUUUUCCUUAUACAACUAAAUACACACAUCUUUCUAAACAAAGUAUGUAGCUAGCUAUCAUAUACUAUACUCUGAAAACAAAGAUAUCCUAUAAUAUAAAACCUCCAACUGUAUGCUAUUGGCUGUUCCAUAUAAGGCUUUGUGGUUUGGUUUACGUGACGACCUGCUCGUCUGUUCCCCUCCGUGGCCGCAGCCCAGCAGAUGUGGAGCCCACUGUGACACUGGGAGACAACCAGUAGCCCGAAUAGGCCUGUUCCGCGUAGAGGUCACCAACUUGACCCCUUUGUAUUCCUACAGUCUCAGCCUCGUCCGCCUGCAGUGGGAGCAGCAGUCUGUCUGACCAUCUGACCUGUUCUCCUGUCGAGGCCAUAGGUCAGAGGUCACUGGUGUUGUUAGGUUUAGGGUUAAUCUGGCGCGGCCAGCGAGGGUUUGACCACGACCAAGCCAUGGUCUUGGUCCGACUCAGGCCCACAUUCUCGUCAGCGUUGCUCAAUGCGACGCAGAACCACAAAUACUUUCCUCUAAGCUGGUGUGACGCUGUUGUGAUUCAGCAGCAUUGUCAUUAAUAUUGUAGUGUAAUGAUUAUUAUUAGUAUUUUAGUGAUGUAGGUGAUUGAAAUGGGUCGACAGAGUUUGUUAGUUUGGUCUGUUUCUGGUCUUUAACUUUAUUGAUCAGCAACAAUCAACAGAUAUAACGUUGAACAAAUUCAGCAAAUAUGGUACGCCUUAAUUAUUGCUUCGUAGUAAUGACAAAGCAAAACUAAAAACCUUGGCCCCCCCUGGGGGCCAAGGUUUCUCCUGGCCUGAGGGCUGGAGAACGCACGCUUUGAAAAUGCUUUGUUCGAUACAUUCCAAUCGACAGCCUGUCUACGCUCUAAUUGUUCUUAAAAGGUGAGUUUCAGUUGUUCACGAUUUGCAUAUACAGGUGGUGGAAGGUUGACAGGUGUGUGCUGAUGGCUCCCAGCUGCUGCUAGCCAGUGCAGCUCAGCAGCACUGAAACAUUCCCCCUCCACACUGCAUCAGAGGCUGCUGCUGACCAGCGAUAAUCUGGCAUAGCUCCGCUCCUUAAGGCGCUCCUUCUCCACAAUGGGAUUUGUCGGGAUCCCGGACCUCACGGCUCUGGGCUCCUGUUUUUCCGUGACGUAUAGAGUUGAGUAAAGAUGGUGAUGCUUGGGCCAACAGUGGGGCGAUCUAGCGUCAUCACAGCGGUAGGUGUUGUGGUGAUUUGCAUGCUCUGAGCAAACAGACUGCUCCGUCGCUUCAUAGGCCUGGUCGGAGACCUCCAAGAGCAUCACGUGGCUCAGGAGGUAGAGCGGGCUGGUCGGUAACCGGAAGGUUGCUGGUUCGAUCCCCCGGCUCCUCCUAGCGGGAGCGUCGAGGGGUCCCUGAGCGAGACACCUCAACCUGACGUCGCCUGACGUGCUGGCUGUCGCCUCGCAUUGGGUGACUCCGCCGUGGGUGUGUGAAUGUGUGCAUGAAGGGGUGAAUGUUAGGCAACAUUGUAAAGUGCUUUGAGCGGCCGCUGGUUAGAAAGGCGCCGUAUAAAUGCAGUCCAUUUACCGUUUAGUUCACAUGCAUGAGCAGCCUCCCCUCCGCUGCCCUCCAGUCUGUCGGAUCGGGUCCUAAUGAGUCCUAAUGAGACCCGUUCUCGUACAGAGCCGGAUUACCAGAUUGGACGAGAGCUUUUAAUUUGAAAUUGGCAACGGCCCCACUAGCCAAAGCCUAAUUCGCGGCCUACUUGAGGAACUGAAUGGUGUUACGCACACUGGACUCACGGAGAGCAAAGCUGAUCUCACGUGGACCCAGGAGCUGGAUAACACGGAGGCUCUGGGAUUAGAGACUCGUUUAGGCUUUGUUUUGGAAGGCCUGUGUUCACUUAGUGUUGUUGUGUUGAGUUAGUGUUGUUGUGUUGAGUUAGUUUAGUGUUGUUGUGUUCAGUUAGUCGUGUUGAGUUGAAUUAGUCUUGUUGUGUUGAGUUCAUUUAGUCGUGUUGAGUUGAGUUAGUCUUGUUGUGUUGAGUUCAUUUAGUCUUGUUGUGUUGAGUUAGUCGUGUUGUGUUGAGUUCAUUUAGUCUUGUUGUGUUGAGUUAGUCGUGUUGUGUUUAGUUAGUGUUGUUGUGUUGUUGUCAUUGUAAAGUACGUUAAACUAGCAGAUCUUCUAGACUCCAUAACAGUAGACAGCAUGGCUCCACCGAGUUACGUUAUGAACGACAGAAUCCACUGAUACCCGCUCAAUGCCCCAUUGUUAAAGAAUUAAGUACCGCUCCAACAUUUCCCUUCAACAAACAAGAAAUUAUUCUAUAACUUGUUACCUAACUCAAUAAGUUAAUGCAUGAAGAUUAAACGACACAGAACUGUACGUUUAUAUACUAAUAGUUUUACGAUUGUGUUUUACGAUAGUUUUACGAUUUUCUUCCAGGUAAGUUAGGGUGAGGGCAGGGUAAGGGUGAGGCAGGCUGGGGGUGAGGCAGGCUGGGGGUGAGGCAGGCUGGGGGUGAGGCAGGCUGGGGGUGAGGCGGGGUGAGGGGUGAGGCGGGGUGACGGGUGAGGCAGGCUGGGGGUGAGGCGGGGUGAGGGGAGCCCCAGUGGAGGGCGGUAACAGACCAACGCUGUGUAAGCUGAUCCCAGUGAAUGGGAGGUGAAUCUCCUCAGGUACGUGAUCCGGACCUCGUAGAGUAGCCCACGGCGCCCGGGCGGGGGGGGGGGCGGGGGGGCGGGGCUGGAGCAGGCCAGCACACCACCCUGGUGUCAGACGGAGAGGGGGGGGGGGGGGGGGACUCGGGUCUGUGGCCCCCUCCUCUGCUGGUACCGAGAAUAGCCCGGGUUCAUUCCCUGGUUGAUCCAGGGCGACGGACCGGGCUCAGAACAUUAUGUACCGAACCAACUGUCACAUUUGUGGCCUUCAUGCUUUCUAAUAUCUUCCAUUUUACCGCAACGGUGUCGAUUAUAUAUUUCAUUGCACAUUACCCUGUCAUUAAUCUCCCCGGCUGGCAGCCAGAAGGAGUCAAAAGGUCUCCGUCUUCGCCCUCUGGGGUUUGGUUUUAGUUACCGUGACAACUUGAGUGACUGGCCUGAGGGCCCUGGGAACCAGUUUUGUGAUUUGGUAUGGCGACUAAAGUUCACUAGUAAUCCAAAUAAAGUUGACAUUGAACAUCUGAACGAAAGUGAUUUUGACCCGGGCGGCAGUGACCGGCUCAGGACGUAGAGCAGGACUUGUUGACUUGUAAGGUUGCCAGUUCGAUCCCCGGAGUGUCCCUGAGCAAGGCACCUCACCCUCACUGCUCCAGACGAGCUGGCAGUCGCCUUGCACGGUUGUCACCGCCGUCUUUGUGUGAACGUGUGCACGAAUGGGGGAAUGUUAGGCAAUAUUGUGAAGCGCUUUCAGUGGCCACUGGUUAGAAAAGCGCUGUGUAAAGGCAUUCCUUUUAGCAUAUACUGUAGCGGUCAAACAUAAGUCUUCCCAACAAACCUUGCGUUCUACAACCAGGUGGGACGCCCUCCAGCAGAACAGCAGCGUGGAGGCAAGGUGGUGUUCCUGAAGCUCCGGGUUCAGGAACACCACCCUGACGGUGUCAUACCCCGGAGGUCAUCCUGCUCUCCGGGAUACUGUCAAACCUGCGCCGCCCGCGGCCGUGGUCUCAGUCCCAGUGGAAAUUUCCAGAGAACAGCCUGCUGGAAAGUUUCCAGCACCCUGCCCUCUGGUUGGUCAGGUUCUUCAGUGACUCACUCAAGGCUUGACGCCGAUGUCCGGCCCUACCUUCUCUCAUUAAUAGUUAGAUGCCUUUAUGCUACUCUCUGGAUGCUACACAAUCGGUUGUUAAUUGUCUUGAGACAUGACAGGCUGACCCCUGCUCUGGAAUUGGUUUAGGCUGGCUUCCGUUUUACAAUAGUUAAUCAGUCAUACGUGGCCUCAAUGUCUACGUCUACACGACAAAAGUUCAGCUUGAGUUAAAGUGAGGAUGUUGCAACCUCUGGGGAAUGGCUUUGAGAAGGUCUGCCGGGAAAGUGAAGCACACGGUGGACACAUUCUCUGGAGGCCCCUCUCUUGUCGUCAACCUCAGGGCUUCCUCGUUAAGCUGUGGUUCCUCUCUCUCCCGAGCUGACCUGGGGCUCCGUUAUCACCAUGGCCACUUUGACCGUGUGUUGACAAGGCGACCAGGCUGGGUGUGUUUUUGUUUACACAUGGUAGCACGCUACCGACAGAGCUACACUCAUGCUAAGGUCUCAGGGACUCGGGCCGGUCGGUGGAGGCUAACCGGACGUUCAGUAGACCAGAGCAGGGCUGGCUCCGUUGGGCGAGGCAGGGAGGAAAUACCAGCAGCAGGAUGGGUAGACGGCCUCGCACUCCAAAGUUUAAUGAUUGUCAAUUUAUGGCGUCCUCAGGAUGUAGCUCCCUCCCUCAAAGAGUAAACACCUGGACAACCAGAAGCUAAUCAUUUAGCUUCUUUAAAAAUGUUAUGAUCAUUUGUUUCUGGUAUCAUGAUGGAUAAUGUCAAAGAAAAUUAAAGCUAACAAACAAUGUUAAAACAUUUUUUAAGGUCUUAUCUUGUCUUAUCUUCAAAGGGAUCCAGGCUGUUGACUCUAGCUCAACCUCAUGUUUGGCUGAUCUGCAAUCAGAACAAUGAGCUUAAAUAUUUACCUUGUUAGCGAUGAAUUGUUACCGAAACCUAACACAAUUUAAAUUGCGAUACAUUCGCUUGAAUGACAUUAGAUUUACAUUUGGGGCAUUUAGCAGACGCUUUUAUCAUGGACAUUUGUCAGAAGAAGGAGAAACUACAAUAUAUAUCGCUGUCGUUACAGAAAGGAUGUUCAUAGAACCAAGUGCCAAGCACUAACAAUUGCUAGGUUAACCCAUUCCCGUAAACAACAAGAUAGCUAGGAUAAGAUGAUGCACAAUGCUAAGUAGUACUAUUCGUAAGUGCCAGGACGUACAACAUACAAUAGGUGUACAACGCGUUUGUUUUGUGAUGGGGAACAGUCUUCCUCUUCCUUCCUGUUGUGAAGACCCUACGCCCCUAUAAGAUGAAGAUUUCACAGAAUGCACUGGUAUUUAGACUGAUGUUUGGUCGAACACCUAUCUGUGUUUUUUCUGUGGAAGCAUGACUCAGAACUAGGCCGAACGAUGAUGCAACCAGCCGUAAACGCCAGAGUGUUUAAGCCUAAUCAUGGUGAUUUGGCUGAAAUUCGACACACACAAACCCAGACACACAGACACACACACCGACACACACACCAUAACAGGGCCACCAUGUUAUGGCCCCUGGUCUGUCAGCAGAUACAUUUUGCGUGUGUUAAUUUGCAUGUCUCACAAAGAAAGACUUCACCUGAAAACGCCUGCGGGGUUUCAAUGGCCAGGGUUGGAUCAAAACAAGUCGUCGCCGAACGUCGAAGCUUCCCUUUUUUGGUCUCGCCGCCUGCCUCUGCAGCUUUGUUUAUUUAUGAUGUAAGAGUAGACGCUUGUGUCGCUGAGGCCCUCUGCCCUGUGUGGUUCGGCUGUGGGGACUAGGAAGUGGCCAUUUUUAUUUUGUCAACAGGAAGUUCACACUCUGAAAUGUAAACACUGGGACCUGCAGCUGAUGCUUCCAAAUAAAGGGAGGGGGAGCCCGGUUAAGUUGAUGGUGGUUAUUAUCACCAUCAACCAUUGAACCAGGCCUUAGUUCCCAGCAGUGUUUUCAAAGGAAUGAAAGCUUUGCGGGUGUUAGCGUAACAGCUAGCAAUUACAUGCUCACUAUGAUGGAGUGUAGUUAACAAAUGACUGUAAAUGUCUUCUCUUCUUCUGACUGUAAAACCCUCAGGUGAAAUAGUUUGAUAGUUGGGUGUUGAUACGAAGGUUGUGUGUGCGUCAGUGCGUGUGUGUGUGUGUGGUUUCCACAUAUGUAGGUUUACGGUUUCCCCGUUUGUGGGUCACAUUGGCACCACGUUGUCGGGACACCAACAAUGUGCCGCUGGCACACGUGUCGAUGUUUGCUGCCAUGUUGAAUUUGGGACAGCUGUUUAGAAUCUUCCGCCCUCGGAGAGAAAAGGCAUCACCAAACGGAACCUGCAGUGUCAGUUUGGACGGACAUAACCAAAACCCACGGAUAACGAAAUUAACUUGUAAAGUUUGGAGUCGCAGUUCUUUCAGUUGUACGUUAUGUGGGAGGAACGAGUCAUUUGGGAUGCGGUUGUAGGGGUGGAAUGGGGUAGGGCCGUGCUUGUUAACGUGACUCCACACACACACACGGGGCUAAAGGUCCAGGAAGAGUCAAACUGUGUGUGUGUGUGUGUGUGUGUGUGUGUGUGUGUGUGUGUGUGUGUGUGUGUGUGUGUGUGUGUGUGUGUGUGUGUGUGUGUGUGUGUGUGUGUGUGUGUGUGUGUGUGUGUGUGUGUGUGUGUGUGUGUGUCUAUUUGCAUGGGUCUAUAUGCAAAUGUGUAUUUCCUGUAUGUGUGUUCAGAGAUGACGUGUCGGUGACUCAUAGCAGACCUUAGUUCCGGCUCCUCUGUGUUUCGAGCUCUUGGUGUAGAGAACCUGUUGUAGUUCAGGCAGCUGCACACAUAUUACAGAACUGGUUACCUGCCCGUCGGCGCUCCCCCUGAACAUCCCAGUGUCCGCAGAGGAAUUCUUUCAGUCACAGUCACGGACGUACGCUAUAUUUAGUCGCUGCCUUAGAGCCGCAGGCCAGCCCAGUGAAUCACAGCGAGGCCUUCGCCCGCUCCGUCAUUAGCCGGGGGUUUCUGAUAGGAUGCAGUUUGUCAGCGUCGGCAGAACCUUUAGAGUUUGUGCGUGUUUCCCUCUCGCAUGUCGGGGUCAGUCUAGUCCCUCGGAGCUGUAAUGAGAACAAUACUGAAGGAAUGUCGACAGUGUGAUCUCUGAGGGCUUUGGACGUCCACCAAGAUCAGGUCCGGCUCUGCAUCUCAAGAAUGCGCCGGUGUCCAUUGUCUUGUUGUUAGGGGUAAUGUCGUGGGACACUGUCCGGGUCGGAUUGGCUCAAGGAAAUCAAUAAUA